AAAGCUGAAGGAGACGAGGAAAGAUUAGCCUGUAAAUCUAAACCAGGAUGACGAGCAUGAGAAAAUAAUGAACAACAGCUCUACAUACACUGCGAAGAUUUCCCGUGGAGCAAGCAGCGACAUCUUCUUCCAGGGAGCACUUGUACAGAACAUGCGUUCGCCGUCACAGCCUGCCUCUCAUCAGGGUCCAGUAUCCACUGGCACAUUGCUCUCUGGACAGUAACCAAUAGCACUACUUGUCAGAUGAACUGACAAAUGCUCAUCAGGAAAAAUAUGCAAACUAAUCUGAACAAAAGCUCAUCAAUAAAACUGCAAUCGUGUAAUUUGUGGCACCUCAAAAUCUCCAGAGAGCUCUGACUGCAGGCGUUGCAGUAGGCUUUCGUUGUA